GUUUGAUCAUGGCUCAGAUUGAGCGCUGGCGGUAUGCUUAACACAUGCAAGUCGAACGGGGGUAGCAAUACCUUAGUGGCGGACGGGUGAGUAAUACAUAGGAACUGCCUUGUAGUGGGGGACAACUUGGGGAAACUCAAGCUAAUACCGCAUACGAGCUACGGGUGAAAGGGGGCUUCGGCUCUCGCUAUAAGAUGAGCCUAUGUCUGAUUAGCUAGUUGUGAGGUAAAGGCCUACCAAGGCGACGAUCAGUAGCUGGUCUGAGAGGACGACCAGGCCACACUGGGACUGAGACACGGCCCAGACUCCUACGGGAGGCAGCAGUGGGAAUAUUGGACAAUGGGCGAAAGCCUGAUCCAGCAAUACCGCGUGUGUGACGAAGGCCUGCGGGUUGUAAAGCACU
rnacentral:rRNA from 1 species